rnacentral:rRNA from 1 species
UACGUAGGGCGCAAGCGUUGUCCGGAAUUAUUGGGCGUAAAGAGCUCGUAGGCGGCUUGUCACGUCGGGUGUGAAAACCCGAGGCUUAACCUCGGGCCUGCAGUCGAUACGGGCAGACUAGAGUUCGGUAGGGGAGACUGGAAUUCCUGGUGUAGCGGUGAAAUGCGCAGAUAUCAGGAGGAACACCGGUGGCGAAGGCGGGUCUCUGGGCCGAUACUGACGCUGAGGAGCGAAAGCGUGGGGAGCGAACAGG